rnacentral:rRNA from 1 species
AUCCUACGGGACGCAGCAGUGGGGAAUAUUGGACAAUGGGGGGAACCCUGAUCCAGCGACGCCGCGUGAGUGAAGAAGUAUUUCGGUAUGUAAAGCUCUAUCAGCAGGGAAGAAAGAAAUGACGGUAACUGACUAAGAAGCCCCGGCUAACUACGUGCCAGCAGCCGCGGUAAUACGUAGGGGGCAAGCGUUAUCCGGAUUUACUGGGUGUAAAGGGAGCGUAGACGGAGAUGCAAGUCUGAAGUGAAAGGCGGGGGCCCAACCACCGGACGGCUUUGGAAACUGUAUAGCUGGAGAGCAGGAGG